AUUGAACGCUGGCGGUAUGCUUAAGACAUGCAAGUCGUGCGGUAGAAGGCUUCGGCCUUUGAGAGCGGCGGACGGGUGAGUAACACGUGGGAAUCUGCCUAUUAGUGGGGGACAGCCCAGCGAAAGCUGGAUUAAUACCGCAUACGCCCUACGGGGAAAGCAGCAAUGCGCUAAUAGAUGAGCCCGCGUAAGAUUAGCUAGUUGGUAAGGUGAAGGCUUACCAAGGCGACGAUCUUUAGCUGGUCUGAGAGGAUGGCCAGCCACAUCGGGACUGAGACACGGCCCGGACUCCUACGGGAGGCAGCAGUCGGGAAUAUUGGACAAUGGGCGCAAGCCUGAUCCAGCAAUACCGCGUGUGUGAAGAAGGCCUGCGGGUUGUAAAGCACUUUCAGUUGGGAAGAUAAUGACGUUACCAACAGAAGAAGCACCGGCUAACUCCGUG
rnacentral:rRNA from 1 species